rnacentral:rRNA from 1 species
GACGAACGCUGGCGGCGUGCUUAACACAUGCAAGUCGAACGGAAAGGCCCUGCUUUUGUGGGGUGCUCGAGUGGCGAACGGGUGAGUAACACGUGAGUAACCUGCCCUUGACUUUGGGAUAACUUCAGGAAACUGGGGCUAAUACCGGAUAGGAGCUCCUGCUGCAUGGUGGGGGUUGGAAAGUUUCGGCGGUUGGGGAUGGACUCGCGGCUUAUCAGCUUGUUGGUGGGGUAGUGGCUUACCAAGGCUUUGACGGGUAGCCGGCCUGAGAGGGUGACCGGCCACAUUGGGACGGAGAUACGGCCCAGACUCCUACGGGAGGCAGCAGUGGGGAAGAUUGCACAAUGGGCGGAAGCCUGAUGCAGCAACGCCGCGUGCGGGAUGACGGCCUUCGGGUUGUAAACCGCUUUCGCCUGUGACGAAGCGUGAGUGACGGUAAUGGGUAAAGAAGCACCGGCUAACUACGUG